GCCCAAAUUCGCACGUGCCCGUGGUCGUCCAUGGAGUGUUGAAGAAACGCUUCUUAAGGGACCGCUGCCAGACAAUCCGCCAAGGGGCGGGGCAGUAUCAUCCGGACGGCUUAAAGCAACGACGUAAGAGGGCUUUU
rnacentral:sRNA from 1 species